rnacentral:tRNA from 2 species
GCGGGCGUAGCUCAGUGGUAGAGCUCCUGCUUCCCAAGCAGGUGGUCGAGGGUUCGAACCCCUUCGCCCGCUCCA